GCCGUUAUAGCUCAGUAGGUAGAGCAGUUGACUGUUAAUCAAUUGGUCACAGGUUCGAGUCCUGUUAACGGCGCCA
rnacentral:tRNA from 1 species